rnacentral:rRNA from 1 species
CACUAUGCUCAGCCCUAAAAUUUGAUAGGCCCCUACGCCCCCUAUCCGCCCGGGUACUACGAGCACCAGCUUGAAACCCAAAGGACUUGGCGGUGCUUCAUAUCCGUCUAGAGGAGCCUGUUCUAGAACCGAUAACCCCCGUUAAACCUCACCCUCCCUUGUUUGUACCGCCUAUAUACCGCCGUCGUCAGCCUACCCUGUGAAGGCCCAGAAGUGAGCAAGAUUGGUAAGACCCAAAACGUCAGGUCGAGGUGUAGUGAAUGAGAGGGGAAGAAAUGGGCUACAUUUCCUAAGCUAGGAAAUACGAAUAAUGAACUGAAAUAAGCAUUAGAAGGUGGAUUUAGCAGUAAGCAGAAAAACAGAGUGUUUCGCUGAAGUUAUGGCAAUAAAGCACGCACACAUCGCCCGUCACUCUCCCCGAGCUAUCCUAUUAACCAGUACCUAAAAAAUUACAUCUGCAAAGGGGAGGCAAGUCGUAA